CCUACGGGUGGCAGCAGUGGGGAAUAUUGGGCAAUGGGCGCAAGCCUGACCCAGCAACGCCGCGUGAAGGAAGAAGGCCUUCGGGUUGUAAACCUCUUUUAGGAGGGAAGAACAGAAGACGGUAUCCCUUGAAUAAGCCUCGGCUAACUACGGGCCAGCACUCGCGGUAACACGGAGGGGGCAAGCGUUGUCCGGAUUUACUGGGUGUAAUGGGCGUGUAGCCGGGCUGACAAGUCAGAUGUGAAAUCCGGGGGCUCAACCCCCGAACUGCAUUUGAAACUGUUGGUCUUGAGUGUCGGAGAGGCAGGCGGAAUUCCUAGUGUAGCGGUGAAAUGCGUAGAUAUCACGAAGAACACCGAUUGCGAAGGCAGCUUACUGGACUGCAACUGACGUUGAGGCUCGAAAGUGUGGGUAUCAAACAGGAUUAGAUACCCGUGUAGUC
rnacentral:rRNA from 1 species